UACAGGGGGUGCAAACGUUGCUCGGAAUCAUUGGGCGUAAAGCGCACGUAGGCGGUCUGUUAUGUCGGAUGUGAAACCUCUAGGCUCAACCUAGAGCCUGCAGGCGAAACUGCCGUGCUUGAGGGUGGGAGAGGUGCGUGGAAUUCCCGGUGUAGCGGUGAAAUGCGUAGAUAUCAGGAGGAACACCGGUGGCGAAGGCGGGUCUCUGGGCCGAUACUGACGCUGAGGAGCGAAAGCGUGGGGAGCGAACAGG
rnacentral:rRNA from 1 species